rnacentral:lncRNA from 1 species
AUGCAAAACAGAGAUCUGGGGAAGAGAGAUACGAUGACCCGUUCCCCUGACUCAUCUGGUCUGGGGAUCAUUCAGCUGGGGAAGACUGGAGCAGGGAUGAGUGCAACCGGAAACACCAAACAGGUGUUUAUAGAAGAGUUAUCUUCUGAGUCUGUGACGACACAAUGUGAGGAUGUCCAGAGGAUGAAGAGGACAGCUUCAGACACUAAUGAAACAGGAGGAGCAGCAGGAGGAGGUGCAGCAGCAGCAGGAGGAAGAAGAGGUGCAGCAGGAGGAGCAGGCAUAACAGAAGGUGUACUAGCAGCAGUACUAGGAGGAGUAGCAAGAGGAGAAGGAGUAGCAGCAGUACUAGGAGGAGUAGCAAGAGGAGAAGGAGUAGCAGCAACAGGAGCAGGAGUAACAGAAGGUGUACUAGCAGCAGUACUAGGAGGAGUAGCAGCAGUACUAGGAGAAGCAGCAGGAGAAGGAUCAGCAGGAGAAGGAGCAACAGAAGGUGUACUAGCAGCAGUACUAGGAGGAGCAGCAGGAGGAGGAGCAGGAGUAACAGAUGGUGUACUAGCAGCAGUACUAGGAGUAGCAGGAGAAGGAGCAGCAGGAGGAGGAGCAGAAGGAGCAACAGAAGGUGUACUAGCAGCAGUACUAGGAGGAGCAGCAGGAGGAGCAGCAGGAGGAGGAGCAGGAGUAACAGAUGGUGUACUAGCAGCAGUACUAGGAGUAGCAGGAGAAGGAGCAGCAGGAGGAGGAGCAGAAGGAGCAACAGAAGGUGUACUAGCAGCAGUACUAGGAGUAGCAGGAGAAGGAGCAGCAGGAGGAGGAGCAGAAGGAGCAACAGGAGGAGGAGCAGGAGUAACAGAUGGUGUACUAGCAGCAGUACUAGGAGGAGCAGCAGGAGGAGCAGGGGAAGGUGUAGUAGCAGCAGUACUAGGAGGAGUAGCAGGAGGAGCAGCAACAGGAGUAUUGGUACUGGCUUUGGGAAUACCAGCAGGAAUAGCAGGAGCAGGAGUAGCAGCAGUUGCAGGAGUAGCAUUUGCAGAGAUUUUUCAAAAACUUAUGCCGAAAUCUACAAAAGGCAGGUGGAAAAGAGAAAGCCUCGAAAAAUGUAAUACAGAUCUGGUUAACAACAAUUAAACUACCUGAGAGUAUAUCGUAUGUUUGUUUCUCUAGUUGAGACUCAUGUAAAAUGUAGUACAGAUCUGGUUAACAACAAUUAAACUACCUGAGAGUAUAUCGUAUGUUUGUUUCUCUAGUUGAGACUCAUGUAAAAUGUAGUACAGAUCUGGUUAACAACAAUUAAACUACCUGAGAGUAUAUCGUAUGUUUGUUUCUCUAGUUGAGACUCAUGUAAAAUGUAGUACAGAUCUGGUUAACAACAAUUAAACUACCUGAGAGUAUAUCGUAUGUUUGUUUCUCUAGUUGAGACUCAUGUAAAAUGUAGUACAGAUCUGGUUAACAACAAUUAAACUACCUGAGAGUAUAUCGUAUGUUUGUUUCUCUAGUUGAGACUCAUGUAAAAUGUAGUACAGAUCUGGUUAACAACAAUUAAACUACCUGAGAGUAUAUCGUAUGUUUGUUUCUCUAGUUGAGACUCAUGUAAAAUGUAGUACAGAUCUGGUUAACAACAAUUAAACUACCUGAGAGUAUAUCGUAUGUUUGUUUCUCUAGUUGAGACUCAUGUAAAAUGUAGUACAGAUCUGGUUAACAACAAUUAAACUACCUGAGAGUAUAUCGUAUGUUUGUUUCUCUAGUUGAGACUCAUGUAAAAUGUAGUACAGAUCUGGUUAACAACAAUUAAACUACCUGAGAGUAUAUCGUAUGUUUGUUUCUCUAGUUGAGACUCAUGUAAAAUGUAGUACAGAUCUGGUUAACAACAAUUAAACUACCUGAGAGUAUAUGGUAUGUUUGUUUCUCUAGUUGAGACUCAUGUAAAAUGUAGUACAGAUCUGGUUAACAACAAUUAAACUACCUGAGAGUAUAUCGUAUGUUUGUUUCUCUAGUUGAGACUCAUGUAAAAUGUAGUACAGAUCUGGUUAACAACAAUUAAACUACCUGAGAGUAUAUCGUAUGUUUGUUUCUCUAGUUGAGACUCAUGUAAAAUGUAGUACAGAUCUGGUUAACAACAAUUAAACUACCUGAGAGUAUAUGGUAUGUUUGUUUCUCUAGUUGAGACUCAUGUAAAAUGUAGUACAGAUCUGGUUAACAACAAUUAAACUACCUGAGAGUAUAUCGUAUGUUUGUUUCUCUAGUUGAGACUCAUGUAAAAUGUAGUACAGAUCUGGUUAACAACAAUUAAACUACCUGAGAGUAUAUGGUAUGUUUGUUUCUCUAGUUGAGACUCAUGUAAAAUGUACAUGUUCAAAUGAUAAAACAAACGUACAUCAAGAUCCCUUUAUGGAAGAUCCCUUUAUGGAAGAUCCCUUUAUGGAAGAUCCCUUUAUGGAAGAUCCCUUUAUGGAAGAUCCCUUUAUGGAAGAUCCCUUUAUGGAAGAUCCCUUUAUGGAAGAUCCCUUUAUGGAAGAUCCCUUUAUGGAAGGAACUUGUGUACUUAUUAAAAUCAGUCUCCCCCUUUUAUUUAUCGUCAUAUUUUUUAAUGGACCGUUUAGGGACCCCAAAAAACAUUCUUUGUUGCAAUGUGAAUAAAUGUUACUAUCAUGUUUGUGUUGUGAAACAUGGGUAAUUUCAUGGUGUUUUUAAAGUAACCAAUGGAGGAUAUAUCACUGAUUAAAUUGAAUUUGUCUAUUGUGCCUUGCAUGCAAUAUAAGUAUAAAAAAAUAGAUAUUUUAUUGACAUGUUGUGUACCAUUAGUCAAUGGGUGUGGUGUUAGAUGCACCAAUAGCAAACAGGUAUGAGAUUCCAUUAUGGGUUAUAGAGGAAACUAAUGUGAACCUCCCAUGUCCCCUGUAAUCAGACUCAACACAUAGAUUGACGUUGUGGGGAUCCAUUUCUCUCCGGAGUCGGUUGGAUAGAAGAUCCUACAGCCACUGUCAAUUUGAAGGCAAACUGACAUAAUGCUUAGAUUUGUCCCCUGCAGUAAAUCCUUGGCUAUUGCAGUGUUCCAUUAAAAAAAGAGCAUCUGUGCCAUUAUUUCAACUUCUAACAAUAAUAUUUUGUCAUUUUGGAUUAUAUUAAUUGAGACAGUUUUAUAUAUUGUGUUCAUGCUCUUCUGCAACAUAAAAACAAUGAUCAAGAUUACACAGUCCGUGACGUCACUGCUUUGAGUUUGUGUAGGCCUGCAGUACA